rnacentral:rRNA from 1 species
ACAUACGACCAUAGACUUAAGAGAACUGGGCAUCCCGUCCGCUCUGCCAUACAUAAACUUAAGAUCGGUGGAUUAGUAGUUGGGUGGGUGACCACCAGCGAAUACCCACUGUUGUAUGUU